ensembl:lncRNA
GGGGUGCUGGAACAGCUGCCCAGAGAGGCUGUGGAUGCCCCGUCCAUCCCUGGAGGUGUUCAAGGCCAGGUUGGAUGGGGCCCUGGGCAGCCUGGGCUGGUAUGAAAUGUGGAGGUUGGUGGCCCUGCCUGUGGUGGGGGGGUUGGAGCUUCAUGAUCCUUGAGGUCCCUUCCAGCCCUAGCCAUUCUGUGAUCUGUGAUUCUGUGACACGCCAUUCCAGUUUCAUGGUUUUGGAGUGAGAGAAGUCACAGAAAAAAAAGCAUUACAACAGCACUUUCAGAUUGCAUUUUCUGAUUACAAUCUGGAAGUGUGUGCUGAUCUUAUGUAAUUUUCU